rnacentral:rRNA from 1 species
CCUACGGGAGGCAGCAGUGGGGAAUAUUGCACAAUGGGCGCAAGCCUGAUGCAGCAACGCCGCGUGAGGGAUGACGGCCUCCGGGUUGUAAAUCUCUUUUAGCAGGGAAGAAGCGAAAGUGACGGUACCUGCAGAAAAAGCGCCGGCUAACUACGUGCCAGCAGCCGCGGUAAU